ensembl:lncRNA
AGGCCGGCCUCAUGGCUGGAAGUCAUGGCGGCGUCUAUCCGACUCGAGGGCGGCGAGCAGCCUCAGGCCUUUGGAAGCCUUUCUUGGCCAUCUGCAGAGACAGCAAGAAGCGGACCUGCAGGUUGAAGCUUAAAAAUUAAAUGUGUUGGCUGUGGACUUGGACAAAAGUCACAUGAAAAACAUCAUCUUAAGAUGUUCCAGUGUAAGGAUCUUUGUGAUGAAAUUUCUAUAAAUGGACAGCCGCAGCCUCGGUCUGUGAGGCGGAAGCGGAUCCUCCAGAAGGCACUUAACCAGCAGCAGCACGUGUCCGCUGCCCUGGACGCAGUGGGCUUGUUCUCGUGUAUGUAACAGGACUUGUCGAACGGCUUGGGUGGGGUGUUCUUUUUGCUUCUGCUGCCCUGGAUUUUGGCUUCUGCUAAGUGGCAGGGAGACUUUAGCAUAGGUUUGUGUUCUUUCCUAGAUGUCUGCAGUGUGAGACAGAACUGAAUUGCUUUGCCCGAAGCGAGUGACGAUGCCUCUCCUGUUGCUGGUGAGCUUUCUGUUUCCAUCUUACACGUCCCUAAGAAGCCCCACAAGCCUGUGAUGGUUGGUUAUCCCUGUCUGAAAAUCUCGACUGAGGGAGAACAAUCUGUUCUGAGGCUUCAGGGUUUGGUUCUGUUCUCUUAAAAGAAGUUCGGGCUUUAUAAGGGAUCAAGUGGAAUGGACUCUAAAGGGAAUUUUGUGGACUCUGCCGAGACCCCAGGCUAGUGCAUGAGCCCUCUACAACUUGAAAACCAAUGGUGUGGCUGUCCUGUCACGCAUUAGGCCCCUUGAUUAAUGUCUCUGAGGGUACGGGCAAUAAGAGGUGGCAGAAAUGGGCAAGUGGCCCAGAUUUGGUUUGGGUUCUUAUUUUGGAAUGAAAGAGUGCUUGUCACAUUUCAAGAAAAUGAUUGUGCUCUUUGAAGUAGGCGGAAAUGUAAAAUGUGUAUGCCAGCUGUGGCAGUGAGAAGACUUAAGGGCUGUCUGACCUCUUGCCUCUGUACCAGAGCCUGACCUUCAGGAAAGAAGGGGUACCGUGGCACUGACAGAGCUCUUUAGUUUCUAGGUGCUUUUUUAACACCAGGGAGCUCUCCUGGGUUAGCUCAGAUCCUGUCUGAGUGGCAUGACUGGCGCGGGGCUUUUCUUUGGGCAGCACGGGGCUAGGCUCCUUGGCAUGUGAGCAAGAAAGGAGCGAAGUGGCUCUGGGUAGGGAGGGUAUCUGGCUUUGUUCCCAUUUAAAUGCCAGGCUUGAAGUGGGCACAUCACCAUUUCCAUUGAAAUCUGGAGGUGUGUAUAGGCUCUUUAUAUUUAAGGUGAAGUGUUUGUUCGGUCACCAAGGAUGCUACAGAGUGAAACAAACCGAAAGGGUGUGCGUGUUAUCAAGGAGAGACAUGUACAAAAGUUUUACAUCUAGAGGGGGAUGAAUGUAAAUGUCCUCAGGGCUCAUGGCUGUUCUUUACUGGCCCUUUCCUAACACUGCUCCCUCCAAGCACCGUCUCCUGAAAACGAGCGGUGGAGUCAUCUGAGCCUCACCGGCCCACACUGGAACUAUCUAAUUGCGCUGUUGUGCCCUCAGCACACACACAAACCUCAUAAGGGCUUAGAAUGAGUGCCUCUGUGGUUGCCUUUUCUCUGAAUUAGCUGCUGCUUUACAUUUAACCUUCAGUGUGAGUCAC